rfam:Triticum aestivum genome assembly, contig: Triticum_aestivum_CS42_TGACv1_scaffold_502018_6BL
CUUAUACUCCCUCCGUUCGGAAUUACUUGUCACAAAAAUGGAUGUAUCUACAACUAAAAUACAUCUAGAUACAUUUGUUUUUUGGACGAGUAAUUCCGAACGGAGGGAGUAUUUU